GACAUAAGUUAAGUCUGAGAUGUUUUUAGUCUGGAGGGACUAAGAUCGCAAUGUGGCCAAGCCUGAAAAGGUUGAGGCCGGUUAAGGGGAUGAUCCAUUAUGUUGUGGCUGAGGUUAUGAACCUUAUUGUCCACGACGGACAAAAGAACCAUAACAAUCUGUUAGGACAAGUAGGACGAGCAGCCUAAAGAUUGGAACAAGUUCGUGAGGACUUGACUAGUACAUCGAAGUGGUCAUUUGGUGAUUUUGAAUCAAGCUUGUUCUAUUCUCUGAUCAAGACUAGAAUAAGUUCGGUUGGAAUAUUUUGUCUUGGG
rnacentral:lncRNA from 1 species